GGAUUGGGAUAUAUCGGUCGUGCCUUUAGGGGCAUGAAUUGGUGUAUGGUCAAUUCUCACCUUCUGGUGAAUUGGAAUGCUCUCGGGUGUUUCGAUGAACUAGGACAUUUUCUUUGAAAAAAUUAGAGUGUUUAAAGCGGGCAUUUUUGCUUGAAUACAUUAGCAUGGAAUAAUAAAAUA
rnacentral:rRNA from 1 species